rnacentral:lncRNA from 1 species
CCCCUGAACGGUUGGGGCAAGUAUGGACACAACAUUCAAGCUGGAUUCAGCUCUAAAUUUGGAUUGUGAUUAAAUAGUUGACACAGCAUAGGUUUCUGACACAGAAUGAAUGUGUUCUAAUGAACUUAAAAUUUUUGUUUUGUCUUUGAGCAAUUCACUAUGCUGUUGAAUAUUAAUCCUCUCAAAUUUUUAUACGACCGCAAAAUUUGAAAAAUUUUUCGUCGUAUAUUGCUAUCACGUUGGCGUUGGCGUCGGCGUCGUCGUCGUCGUCGGCGUCGUCCUGCGUCCGAAUACUUUUAGUUUUCGCGCUCUAACUUUAGUAAAAGUGAAUGGAAAUCUAUGAAAUUUUAACACAAGGUUUAUGACCACAAAAGGAAGAUUGGUAUUGAUUUUGGGAGUUUUGGUCCCAACAUUUUAGGAAUUAGGGGCCAAAAAGGGCCCAAAUAAGCAUUUUCUUGGUUUUCGCACUAUAACUUUAGUUUAAGUUAAUAGAAAUCUAUGAAAUUUUGACACAAGGUUUAUGACCACAAAAAGAACGGUUGGGAUUGAUUUUGGGAGUUUUGGUUUCAAACGGUUUAGGAAUUAGGGGCCAAAAAAGGGCCCAAAUUAGCAUUAUUCUUGGUUUUCGCACAAUAACUUUAGUUUAAGUAAAUAGAAAUCAAUGAAAUUUAAACACAAUGUUAAUGACUACAAAAGGAAGGUUGGUAUUGAUUUUGGGAGUUUAGGUCCCAACAGUUUAGGAAUUAGGGGCCAAAAAGGGACCCAAAUAAGCAUUUUUCUUGGUUUUCGCACCAUAAGUAUAAGUAAAUAGAAAUCUAUGAAAUUUAAACACAAGGUUUAUGACCAUAAAAGGAAGGUUGGGUUUGAUUUUGGGAGUUUUGGUCCAAACAGUUUAGGAAUAAGGGGCCCAAAGGGUCCAAAUUGAACUUUGUGUGAUUUCAUCAAAAAUUGAAUAAUUGGGGUUCUUUGAUAUGCCGAAUCUAACUAUGUAUGUAGAUUCUUAAUUUUUGGUCUCGUUUUCAAAUUGGUCUACAUUAAGGUCCAAAGGGUCCAAAAUUAAACUUAGUUUGAUUUAACAAAAUUGAAUCCUUGGGGUUCUUUGAUAUGCUGAAUUUAAAAAUGUACUUAGAUUUUU